CUGCGACGCAGCUAACGCAUUAAGCGCCCCGCCUGGGGAGUACGAUCGCAAGAUUAAAACUCAAAGGAAUUGACGGGGCCCCGCACAAGCAGCGGAGCAUGCGGCUUAAUUCGACGCAACGCGAAGAACCUUACCAAGGCUUGACAUAUACCGAAAAGCAGCAGAGAUGUUGUGUCCGCAAGGGCGGUAUACAGGUGGUGCAUGGUUGUCGUCAGCUCGUGUCGUGAGAUGUUGGGUUAAGUCCCGCAACGAGCGCAACCCUCGUUCUGUGUUGCCAGCAUUUAGUUGGGGACUCACAGGAGACUGCCGUGGUUAACACGGAGGAAGGUGGGGAUGACGUCAAAUCAUCAUGCCCCUUAUGUCUUGGGCUGCACGCAUGCUACAAUGGCAGGUACAAAGGGCUGCAAUACCGUAAGGUGGAGCGAAUCCCAAAAAGUCUGUCUCAGUUCGGAUUGAGGUCUGCAACUCGACCUCAUGAAGUCGGAGUUGCUAGUAAUCGUAGAUCAGCAACGCUACGGUGAAUACGUUCCCGGGGCUUGUACACACCGCCCGUCACGUCACGAAAGUCGGUAACACCCAAAGU
rnacentral:rRNA from 1 species